CGAAAGCUAUUUAGGUAGCGCCUCGUGAAUUCAUCUCCGGGGGUAGAGCACUGUUUCGGCAAGGGGGUCAUCCCGACUUACCAACCCGAUGCAAACUACGAAUACCGGAGAAUGUUAUCACGGGAGACACACGGCGGGUGCUAACGUCCGUCGUGAAGAGGGAAACAACCCAGACCGCCAGCUAAGGUCCCAAAGUCAUGGUUAAGUGGGAAACGAUGUGGGAAGGCCCAGACAGCCAGGAUGUUGGCUUAGAAGCAGCCAUCAUUUAAAGAAAGCGUAAUAGCUCACUGGUCGAGUCGGCCUGCGCGGAAGAUGUAACGGGGCUAAACCAUGCACCGAAGCUGCGGCAGCGACGCUGAUGCGUUGUUGGGUAGGGGAGCGUUCUGUAAGCCUGUGAAGGUGUACUGUGAGGUAUGCUGGAGGUAUCAGAAGUGCGAAUGCUGACAUAAGUAACGAUAAAGCGGG
rnacentral:rRNA from 1 species